AACGGACGCUGGCGGCGCGCCUAAUACAUGCAAGUCGAGCGAGAAGACGUAGCAAUACGUUUGUAAAGCGGCGAACGGGUGAGGAAUACAUGGGUAACCUACCCUCGAGUGGGGAAUAACUAGCCGAAAGGUUAGCUAAUACCGCGUACGCUCCUUGGACUUCGGUUCAGGGAGGAAAGCGAUACCGUGGGUAUCGCGCUCUUGGAUGGGCUCAUGUCCUAUCAGCUUGUUGGNGAGGUAACGGCUCACCAAGGCUUCGACGGGUAGCUGGUCUGAGAGGACGAUCAGCCACACUGGCACUGCGACACGGGCCAGACUCCUACGGGAGGCAGCAGUAAGGAAUAUUGCGCAAUGGGCGAAAGCCUGACGCAGCGACGCCGCGUGGGGGAGUGAAGGUC
rnacentral:rRNA from 1 species